rnacentral:rRNA from 1 species
GGCCAGACUCCUACGGGAGGCAGCAGUGAGGAAUAUUGGUCAAUGGGCGCGAGGCUGAACCAGCCAAGUCGCGUGAGGGAAGACGGCCCUACGGGUUGUAAACCUCUUUUGUCGGGGAGCAAAGCGAACCACGUGUGGUUCAUUGAGAGUACCCGAAGAAAAAGCAUCGGCUAACUCCGUGCCAGCAGCCGCGGUAAUACGGAGGAUGCGAGCGUUAUCCGGAUUUAUUGGGUUUAAAGGGUGCGUAGGCGGAAUGCCAAGUCAGCGGUAAAAUCGGGGGGCUCAACCUCGCUCCGCCGUUGAAACUGGCGUUCUUGAGUGGGCGAGAAGUAUGCGGAAUGCGUGGUGUAGCGGUGAAAUGCAUAGAUAUCACGCAGAACUCCGAUUGCGAAGGCAGCAUACCGGCGCCCAACUGACGCUGAAGCACGAAAGCGUGGGUAUCGAACAGGAUUAGAUACCCCUGUA